GAUGAACGCUGGCGGCGUGCCUAAUACAUGCAAGUCGAGCGAACGGACGAGAAGCUUGCUUCUCUGAUGUUAGCGGCGGACGGGUGAGUAACACGUGGAUAACCUACCUAUAAGACUGGGAUAACUUCGUGAAACCGUAUCUAAUACCGGAUAAUAUUUUGAACCGCAUGGUUCAAAAGUGAAAGACGGUCUUUCUGUCACUUAUAGAUUGAUCCUCGCUGCAUUAGCUAGUUGGUAAGGUAACGGCUUACCAAGGCAACGAUGCAUAGCCGACGUGAGAGGGUGAUCGGCCACACGGGAAGUGAGACACGGAAAAGACUCAUACGGGAGGAAGCAGUAGGGAAUCUUCCGCAAUGGGCGAAAGCAUGACGGAGCAACGCCGAGUGAGUGAUGAAGGUCUUCGGAUCGUAAAACUCUGUUAUUAGGGAAGAACAUAUGUGUAAGUAACUGUGCACAUCUUGACGGUACCUAAUCAGAAAGCCACGGCUAACUACGUG
rnacentral:rRNA from 1 species